rnacentral:lncRNA from 1 species
ACUCUUGUUUUUCUCUGCUAUGAUUGUAAUUGUUUGAAUGUCACUAAUCUGUUGGCUUAACCAUUCUGGCUGAGGUUGUGUGAGUUGGUUUUCUAGUUUGAGACUGAUUGUAUGGAAAUGAGUUAUAUUCAAGAAAGAAGAUCUCUUCUUAUUUUGUGAAACAUUAAUUUGUGAAAUCUCUCGUCUUUGUAUUGAGCUCCUCAAAGCUUUACCAAGGCCCUACCUGUGGUUGGGCUAUGUAUCUUUGCUCAACUGUUGUGAUUAAUUGGUUCUGCUGCUGAUUGUACAGAACUGCUAAUAUGUGAAAAUAAUUAUGAAUGUGACCGAACUGUCUACAUCCUUGUUGGCUUAUCUUCUAUUGCUGAAAUGGCAGUUAACUAAUUAUGUACUAAGGAAACUCUUUCAGUUUUUAUCUGGGAUUGGUGUACUCUUUUAAUCUCUGAAUGGGAUUCUGAUAUCGACGCAUCCCCAGGCUACUAAUACAUGCAUUAAACAUCAUCUGGUAAGGAUUAUAAGAAUAUAAUUCUAUUUUGACGAAUUUGGUUAUAAGCUUAUCGUUUAAUAAAUAAUUUUCUCUAAAAGUAACAUUUACUUUGCAGAAUUUUGCUCUUUCUCAGUCGUUAUGGACUUGAAGCUUGCAAGUGGAGAAGUGAGGGUAAGACUGCAGAAAACUAGCUUGUUAAAAGUUAAAGUUUGCGAUAGAUAUGAUAACAUCCAAGAAUUGGUUAUUGGAGAUCUAGGAAUUAAUAGCGUCAUUUUCCAUUUGAUGGAUUCAGUAAGUUUGGAUUUAUGGAGAUCUUAAUAUUAUUUGAAUUGGGUUGGAAUAAGCUUUUUGAGCAUUUAAAACCUGUCAAAAUAUAGAAAAGGUGCUCUGCUCUUAAAGUUUCUCUCUUUCUGAUGAACCAGAUUAGUAAAGAACUUUAGAGAUUUUAUGUCUAAGGUGUAAGUUUGGUUGACUAACUUUUGGUCUCUCAACAUGAAGAGUUCGCCUCUGUUAGAAAAAAAUAGCAAUCAUGAUUGGGUGUCAAGUUAAGUAUACUAAUUUUCCUUUCCUAUUUUAAUUGUUGAGUAAAUUUACUGGUUAUGCUGUUUAGCUCAUGUCCUUCAAAGUCUCUAAUGAUCUUGAAAUAAACAAAAGGAAAUAAAUACCAAAAUAAUGAAGAAAUCUGUUGACAAUGGGAUUUUAGGCCUAAACAUAGCAUAUUUGAGAAACUGUUUUCUGAGUUUGGCAUUGGGCAAUUUCUUAUGGUUUCUCUUGAAUCCCAAACUUUACUGUCUGAGUUUAUCUGUCAUUCACAGUUUUCUAUUAAUUUUAGCUCCUCCUGUGGUAGCAUUUCAGCCAGUGGGGGCGUGCGUAAGAAGGUGAUUAGAUACAUACACGACAUGCUGGGUGCCUACAGGUACAAUCUGCUGCUUUAUGCUUUAGUUUGAAGGUAGCAUAGCAAAUUUACAAUUAUGUUUUUAGAUGGGAUAUAGUAUGAAGUCAUAAGGAGGCAUCCGAAUCUAUUUGUGCACAUAUUUCAAUUUUAUGAUAUCAAUGAAAUUUAAAGUUCAUGAGGUGAGUGCUGGUUUUGACUUGAUAUAGGAUAUCUAAUGACCGGUGAGAGUGAUGUCUGCAAACCAACAAAAGUCAUUUGAGCAAACGGUGCACCAGGAAAUGAUUGUAGAUUCUAUGCCAACUAAUCAACCUCUUGUAGGUGUGAAAACAUUCUUUUACAGCACCUAACAUUUAAGGGAAGAUUUUAUACGACUUUGGGCAUGUAUAUGUAUAUCCAACUUAUGUGUUAUCCAUAUGUUCUCACUAGUAUUUAGCUGUCAUUUCUUGGCAUUUGAGUACUCAUAUCAUGUAUCGCACGCCAUUCAUUGUAUGGAAAUCAUGAAUGAGCUAUAUGCCAUGUAUAUACUGCAUGACAUAAAUGUUAAUAAAAUUGACAAAGUAAUCCAGAUAGUUUUGUUGUUUGUUAUUCAAUAUGAACUGAAUCAAUUAUUUAAUAGUGUCCUUGCAAGUGUUAAAACCUACCUGUGUCAUAUAUACUAAGUAAAUAUGUGUAAUCAUUGCCUUGCUCUUGCAUACAAAUGGACUCAACAAUCCCUCUGUAAAACAAUAGGACUGAAAGACUGAUACCACAUUAUUAAACAAUAAUAAUGAUACAUUAUUAAGACUGAUUUGGAAGAUGUUCUUUAUCUUUAGUGAUUAUUUGGCUAUUUGUUUUUUCUAUUAUGCUAAUAUAUAUGCAUUACUGAAAGAAGCACUUGUUGCAAGCUAUCUUGGGUUCUCUCUCAUGCAGAUUUAAAAUCAGCUCAGCAUGGGAGGCGGUUUCAUGUUUUCUGCCAUCUCAGCCACUUUCUCCGCGGCCUCGCCUUCGUCCCCCAAUCCAACUCUGGCUGUUUGCGUCCAACUUCAACCAUACUAUUGCUCUGAAAAGGACACCUUUUGUAGGCCGGUUCCUUCUCGGGUAGAAGUUGAAACUGCAAUUCUUGAACUCUAAAGGUUUAAAGAUGGCAGCUUUUUCCCAUUUCAUGUUAAAGAUAAAUCAACUUUUGAUUUUAAUCUGGUGUUUAUCUUUGUUUCUUUACUUCCUUAUCUUGGAAUUGUCGGAAUCAAGGUUGUUUUUCUCUUGAUUAGAUGGGAUUACGAUGAUUUAUGAAUGAUACGGCUG